GCAUUGGUGGUUCAGCGGUAGAAUUCUUGCCUUCCAUGAAGGGGACCUGGGUUCAAUUCCCAGUCAAUGCA